AUUGAACGCUGGCGGCAUGCUUUACACAUGCAAGUCGAACGGUAACAGGCCGCAAGGUGCUGACGAGUGGCGAACGGGUGAGUAAUGCAUCGGAACGUGCCCAGUCGUGGGGGAUAACUACUCGAAAGAGUAGCUAAUACCGCAUACGAUCUAUGGAUGAAAGCGGGGGACGGUAAGGCCUCGCGCGAUUGGAGCGGCCGAUGUGAGAUUAGGUAGUUGGUGGGGUAAAGGCUCACCAAGCCAACGAUCUGUAGCUGGUCUGAGAGGACGACCAGCCACACUGGGACUGAGACACGGCCCAGACGCCUACGGGAGGCAGCAGUGGGGAAUUUUGGACAAUGGGCGCAAGCCUGAUCCAGCAAUGCCGCGUGCAGGAAGAAGGCCUUCGGGUUGUAAACUGCUUUUGUACGGAACGAAACGGCUCUGGUUAAUACCCGGGGCUAAUGACGGUACCGUAAGAAUAAGCACCGGCUAACUACGUG
rnacentral:rRNA from 1 species